UUGCACAGAGAACACCCAAGGAUGCUAAUAUGGCUCUCCCUGGUCUCCUGUGUCUGUGCUACAGUGAUUCUGAUCUCUACCUCUGCAUUAAGAGAGUUGUCUUCUCCCUUAACUGCAUCAGUGGAUCAGUACAAAA
ensembl:snoRNA small nucleolar RNA SNORA22